AUUGAACGCUAGCGGGAUGCUUUACACAUGCAAGUCGAACGGCAGCGCGGACUUCGGUCUGGCGGCGAGUGGCGAACGGGUGAGUAAUGUAUCGGAACGUGCCCAGUAGCGGGGGAUAACUACGCGAAAGCGUAGCUAAUACCGCAUACGCCCUACGGGGGAAAGCAGGGGAUCGUAAGACCUUGCACUAUUGGAGCGGCCGAUAUCGGAUUAGCUAGUUGGUGAGGUAACGGCUCACCAAGGCGACGAUCCGUAGCUGGUUUGAGAGGACGACCAGCCACACUGGGACUGAGACACGGCCAGACUCCUACGGGAGGCAGCAGUGGGGAAUUUUGGACAAUGGGGGCAACCCUGAUCCAGCCAUCCCGCGUGUGCGAUGAAGGCCUUCGGGUUGUAAAGCACUUUUGGCAGGAAAGAAACGUCGCGGGCUAAUACCCCGUGGAACUGACGGUACCUGCAGAAUAAGCACCGGCUAACUACGUG
rnacentral:rRNA from 1 species